rnacentral:rRNA from 1 species
CCANNNGGGAAUUUUGGCAAAGGGGGGGAAACCUUUUCCAGCCAUGCCGGGGGUUGAAGAAGGCCUUUAGGUUUUAAAGCACUUUAGGUGGGAGNNGGUGGUGGUGUUAAAAUUACCAGGUAUUGACGUUACUGGCAGAAUAAGCACCGGCUAAUUCCGUGCCAGCAGCCGCGGUAAUACGGAGGGUGCGAGCGUUAAUUGGAUUUACUGGGCGUAAAGCGUACGUAGGCGGGUUAAUUGAGUUGGAUGUGAAAUCCCCGAGCUUAACUUGGGAAUUGCAUCUGAUACUGGUUAGCUAGAGUGUUGGAGAGGAUGGUAGAAUUCCAGGUGUAGCGGUGAAAUGCGUAGAGAUGUGGAGGAAUACCGAUGGCGAAGGCAGCCCUCUGGCCUAACACUGACGCUGAGGUACGAAAGCAUGGGGAGCAAACAGGAUUAGAUACCCUGGUAGUCCACGCCGUAAACGAUGUCUAUUAGNAGGUUGUCUCUUUGAGGGAUUAGUGNCGCAGCUAACGCGAUAAGUAGACCGCCUGGGGAGUACGGUCGCAAGAUUAAAACUCAAAUGAAUUGACGGGGGCCCGCACAAGCGGUGGAGCAUGUGGUUUAAUUCGAUGCAACGCGAAGAACCUUACCUAGUCUUGACAUCCUGAGAACUUUCCAGAGAUGGAUUGGUGCCUUCGGGAACUUACAUACAGGUGCUGCAUGGCUGUCGUCAGCUCGUGUUGUGAAAUGUUGGGUUAAGUCCCGCAACGAGCGCAACCCUUUUCCUUAUUUGCCAGCAAUUUGGUUGGGAACUCUAAGGAGACUGCCAGUGACAAACCGGAGGAAGGCGGGGACGACGUCAAGUCAUCAUGGCCCUUACGACCAGGGCUACACACGUGCUACAAUGGUCGGUACAAAGGGAAGCUACCUCGCGAUAGCAAGCUAAUCUCCAUAAAAGCUANAGUCGUAGUCCGGAUUGGAGUCUGCAACUCGACUCCCUGAAGUCGGAAUCGGUUGUAAAUGCNGAUCAGAAU